GAUGAAGAACGCAGCAAAAUGCGAUAAGUAAUGUGAAUUGCAGAAUUCAGUGAAUCAUCGAAUCUUUGAACGCACAUUGCGCCCGCCAGUAUUCUGGCGGGCAUGCCUGAUCGAGCGUCAUUUCAACCCUCAAGCACAGCUUGGUGUUGGGACUCGCGUUAAUUCGCGUUCCCCAAAUUGAUUGGCGGUCACGUCGAGCUUCCAUAGCGUAGUAGUAAAACCCUCGUUACUGGUAAUCGUCGCGGCCACGCCGUUAAACCCCAACUUCUGAAUGUUGACCUCGGAUCAGGUAGGAAUACCCGCUGAACUUAAGCAUAUCAAUAAGCGGAGGA
rnacentral:misc_RNA from 1 species